rnacentral:hammerhead_ribozyme from 1 species
AUCCAGCUGACGAGUCCUAAAUAGGACGAAAUGCUCGUCCUAGAU